CGUGCUCUGGCGGGAGGACGGUUCGUCGAUCCGGGUGGCGUUCGUGCCGGCGCAGCGGCGCUGGCGGAUCGAGACCACCGAGGGCGA
rnacentral:tRNA from 1 species